GAUGAACGCUGGCGGCGUGCCUAAUACAUGCAAGUCGAGCGAAUGGAUUAAGAGCUUGCUCUUAUGAAGUUAGCGGCGGACGGGUGAGUAACACGUGGGUAACCUGCCCAUAAGACUGGGAUAACUCCGGGAAACCGGGGCUAAUACCGGAUAACAUUUUGAACCGCAUGGUUCGAAAUUGAAAGGCGGCUUCGGCUGUCACUUAUGGAUGGAACCGCUUCGCAUUAGCUAGUUGGUGAGGUAACGGCUCACAAAGGCAAAGAUGCGUGGCCGACCUGAGAGGGUGCUCGGCCACACUGGGACUGAGACGCGGCCCAGACUCCUACGGGAGGCAGCAGUAGGGAAUCUUCCGCAAUGGACGAAAGUCUGACGGAGCAACGCCGCGUGAGUGAUGAAGGCUUUCGGGUCGUAAAACUCUGUUGUUAGGGAAGAACAAGUGCUAGUUGAAUAAGCUGGCACCUUGACGGUACCUAACCAGAAAGCCACGGCUAACUACGUGCCAGCCGCCGCCGUAA
rnacentral:rRNA from 1 species